CAGUCGCCGCGGGAAUACGAAGGGUGCAAGCGUUAAUCGGAAUUACUGGGCGUAAAGGGUGCGUAGGCGGUUAGUUAAGUCUGUCGUGAAAUCCCCGGGCUCAACCGGGGAGGGUCAUUGUAAACUGGGAAACCUGAGUGCAGAAGAGGAGAGUGGAAUUCCACGUGUAGCGGUGAAAUGCGUAGAGAUGUGGAGGAACACCUGUGGCGAAAGCGGCUCACUGGACCAUAACUGACGCUGAGGCACGAAAGCUAGGGGAGCAAACAGGAUUAGAUACCCGCGUAGUCCCUGUCUCUUAUAC
rnacentral:rRNA from 1 species